CAAAACCAAACACCUCCUUAUUAUUAAAAAAACCGACCAUCACUCCCUGCACCUAAAACACCAGCGGCAAUCUCCACCUCCGGUGAAGAAAGCAUCGCUAGCUAGUCGACAAAGCCAAAGCAAAAAAAAGAAAAGAAAAGAAAAGCCCUUUUGCAGUACAUGGUUUCUUAACUGCAACGUAAUCCUGCUUCGUGGGUUGGCUCCAAAAAGCAACGUCCCUCUCUCAAAGAUAAAAGAUUAUCAGCAAAAGAUAGAGUUGGUUCGGGAUCUAACGUUUCCAACCGCUAGGAGUAGAAUUAAAGUGACCCCAGAUGGAGAAUUUCAUAUUGCGUCGGAUAUUGGAUGAUGACUAUUCAAAGCUUGCAUUUUUAUGUGCUGAUCGUUCUGUUUACCUACACGCCAAAUAUGGAAAACGCUACACUUAGUGAAUUCCAAGGUUUAUAUUGAUGAUUUAUCAGUAUUUAUGCUUUUGUUUCAUAUUGUGAUUUGCUUUUUGUUUCGUGUAUUGCUUCAUACAGCUAACCAUUUCCUUGACAUGCUAAUGUUAUUAUGCUUCUUGACUUCUCUGUCAGGUGGAUUUUAUGUUGUAUUAAAGGGAACAAAGGUAACAUAUGUAAGGCCCUCCUAGUUAAUGGGGGGUCCAAUAUGGUGCCUAGAGUAGAGGGGAUAUAGAGGUCAUAAAGCAAGUAGUUAAUUUUGCCUUUACUGGCAUUUAUUAUCUUUUUUGUAUUGCUUAGUUGAUUUAUAUGAACUUAAUGAGAAGUGUGGUACAAACUUAUCGUAGUUGCUGACAUCAUAAUAAGGAUUUUUGUCUGAUAUGAAGCUGAAAGAGGAAAGAAUUUUCUAAGCCCUGCCAAUAGUUGGAGUCUUGAUUUUAGGUGAUUCACAUUCAAUUGAAAGUAACAAACAUCUAUACACAUUGCACGGUGAUGAGAUAAUGUUGAAGAAUUUGAAAUGCAUUAAAGCUUGUUGAGAACUUGGAAAGCUCAUUUUGAUGUAAGAAUGUGUUAACUUGAAAUGCUCUACUGAGACUAGAUCGAAGGUCAUGUGACUCUUGGGUAAUGCCCAAUGUUUUAGUGAAUAAGUUACUCAUGGCAUGAACAUGAGUGCCUUGGGAGAUCAUAGAGGGAAAAACAGGUGAAUAUCCAACUAGGAUAGGGUUGAAUGAAACUUUUGACUGUUACUUCCAAACUUUCGGGAUUAAUUUUGUACUGUGCAUUGGUUGCAUCAUAUAACUUUAUGCUGGAGGAGUGCUUUAUUGCUUUUUGAUGAGAGGAUCUCACUCAAAAAUGAGAUACAAGAGGUUCACUCUGUUGCAGAAAGCAAAAGAACAAAAUGAGGCAAAUAAGGAACAAGUUCAGUGUCAGUAUGAGUCCUCUGCAGUGCCUUAAGUCUGUUUUUCAAAUAAAAGACGUAUCAAUAAUGAAAUGACAUGAAGUACAAUCACAUGAGGAGAAUAAGUCAACCAUCAAUCUAUUGGUGCAACGUAUUGCUAACUGAAAAGUGAAAAGAGUGGAUAGUUUUCCUUAAGUCUCUCUUAGUAAUUCAUAUGCUUUUUCAGUGGGUUCUUUGAUAUGCCAGUUGAACAUUUAUUUCUGGAUCAUAAUGCCAGGUCUAGGAAAAUCACUUUGAUUCAGUUGAUGAUGGAUUAGGAACUCUGCUUAUCAGUUUGUUUUUUGACUGAUAUCCAGUUUCACUUUUUUCCUUGGGAUGUGUCACCUCUUUAUUCAGUGUCAUCUCUGCCCAAGGGAUUGGUUUCCCUGAUUAUGCAUCUCUUGAAUUUAAGAUAGCAAACUCUCUUAGCUAGACCCCUUUAGAUAGCAAAUUCUCUUGGCACUCUGGAACUGCGUAUCACUUGCAGAGGAGGACUCUCUUCCUCUUGGAGAGAAAGCAGCAGCCCUUGGAGAUAACCUGCAGACCUCUGACUGAAAUAACAUAAAGUUUGGACCAGGAGAAUCUCCUGAAAUUUUAUUCUCUACAUGAAGCUCAGCCACAUACAAAGAGGGUGGGGAUGACAGGACAAAGAAACACGGUGUGACAAGAGGAGUGGAAUCCAAUCAUUAGGGCUGAAGUCUGCUGGAUCAGGGUUUAGAGGCAAUAGAAGAGGAGGGAGUACUAGGGGGAGGGGUAGAAUAGGAGGCCGGCACUGAACAUCUUGUGUUCGGAUAAAUGUGAUGACUCACAUUCAGCUUUGGCUGUAUUGAUUUUGGAAGCUGCUUAUUGGUGAUCUGCAAACAACGAGCACAAUCACCAGAUGAGCUGGAAAAAUUUGUACAGUUAAAUUAUUCUGUGGAAUGCUUAGCUGUUGAGAUUU